rnacentral:lncRNA from 1 species
UUGAAUACUCUUCAGUUUGGUAUUUUGGUUGCUAAAUAGAAUAGCAAAAAUAUCAACAAACUCAUAGUGAUUCCGAACAUUACUUUAACUAAAACCAUCUAAAAUAAUUUGUUAAAUAAAUAAUAGCAAUAUGAACUAUAACUUUUCAAUAAGGCACAUCUAGAAGCAAAUCUAUUCACCUUUCAGAAUUUCAUACCUUUUCUUGAUAGAUGACUCCAACAUUCCACGGUAGUAGAUGUUGACAAAUUUCUUGCUAUCAAAACUAAAGUCAAUUCAUGGAAGUACAUAUAGCAACUUGAACAAUUCUAAUCAUUCAAAUCAAGGGAGUUACAGUUAUAUACAUCCACACUUUAGUUCUAUCAUAAUCCAAUUGUAAAAGCAUAAAAAUCCAGAUCCAAAACUUCUCAUGAUAACAAACACAGGGGCGUUAAGAAUGUAAUAUUCAGCCCCUGAAGAAGAUUGAAUGCUAGCAGCAAUACAGCACAACAAGAAAAACCUCAAACAUCUAACAGCAAUACUAGAUUUAAAAUUGCAUAGCUCAAACUUCCAUUUGCUUGAGAGAAACACGACUUUGUUAAAAAAAAGGUUAUGGUUCAUUGUUAAUAAAAAAUAAAAAGCUUGCUCCAAAAUGAACAUUUGUUUAAAAGUAAAAAAUGUAACUCUAAGUAUAGUUGAAAAUUUCACAUUAUUUUCCCCCACAAACCUACUUUAACAAUAGUAAUUUUUCAAUUGUCUGCAAAUGCUAACUCAACUGAUAAAUCUCGUCAACCAUAAACCAUAAACCAGCUCAAUCGAAACAAACACUUAAAACAAUCAAUUUUCAAAAUCAAGAUUAUAUAAAAUCAAAUUUGCAACCACUCACUCAAACAAACAAGCAAUAAAAAGUAAAAACCCUAGUUUUAAAGUUCUACACUGCACUUAUAAGCUAUUGAAACUGUUUUCCUUUUCGGAUUUGAGAAUUCUUAAUUAUUUCAAUAAACAAUCAAAUUUAUUGCAUUAUACAUAAAAUCCCAAUGUAAAUUAAUCUUAGAGAUAAAAACUUCCAAAUAUAAAUCACUUCAUUUAAAUAUUAUUUCAAGAAAAUCAAUUAUAUAUAUAUAAUAAUUAUAUAAUAUAUAUAUUAUAAUAUAUAUAUAUAUAUAUAGAUAGAUAUAUAUAUAUAUAUAUGAUCAUCCAAAAUCAAAUUUACAAACCCUCAACCAAAAACACAAAAUUGAAAAAUCCAUGAUUCAUGAUCUCCACAUAGCUUUUGAGCUUUUAAUACUUUUAUUUUUAUUGAAGAACAAAAAAAAUCAAAAUCCAUAAGACAAAAAGAUAAGAAAAAGGACAAAAGCAUAGUAGUAAGAUCUGGAAUAUUUGAAAAUCAAAAUCUGAAAGUAAUACUAGCAACAAGAAUAAUGAAUAAAUAAUAAGAAAGAAGAGUUUGUUUUGAAGAUUUAGAAGCAGGUAGAAAAUAAGAAAAAAAAAAGCAUACCUUGAAUUGAAGAUGUUAGAAUUUGUUGUUAAUGAAUGGUUAGAAGAGAAGAGGUUAGAUCUUUGAUGGCGAAUUGCAUGUGUUCUUGUUAUCUGGUUAGAUCUAUUUGCGGUGAGUGGUGAAUUGUGAUUUGUGUGUUUAAGAGAGAGAAAGAUGUAGUCAAAGAGAAAAAGAUGGGAGAGGAUUGAAUAUUCACCAAUAAAACUAGUGUUUUAGAAAGAG